CACGGAGUUAGCCGGUGCUUAUUCGUAUAGUACCUUCAGCUACUCUCACGAGAGUAGGUUUAUCCCUAUACAAAAGAAGUUUACAACCCAUAGGGCCGUCGUCCUUCACGCGGGAUGGCUGGGAUCAGGCUCUCACCCAUUGUCCAAUAUUCCUCACUGCUGCCUCCCGUAGGAGUCUGGUCCGUGUCUCAGUACCAGUGUGGGGGAUCACCCUCUCACGGCCCCCUAAAGAUCAUUGACUUGGUGAGCCGUUACCUCACCAACUAUCUAAUCUUGCGCGUGCCCAUCUCUAUCCGCCGGAGUUUUCAAUAUCUAAUGAUGCCAUCAAAUAUAUUAUGGGGUAUUAAUCUUCUUUCGAAAGGCUAUCCCCCUGAUAAAGGUAGGUUGCACACGUGUUCCGCACCCGUGCGCCGCUCUCAAGAUUCCGAAGAAUCUCUACCGCUCGGCUUGCAUGUGUUAGGCCUCCCGCUAGCGUUCUAUCCUGACGCCAGGUACUCAAACU
rnacentral:rRNA from 1 species